GGGGGCGAUCAGGCUUCGACUACGAGCAUGACGGUGGGGUAAGCAAGCCGUGGUUGGACGAAUGGCCACGUUAAAAAUCGCCCAAACUAUUCAGUUGCCAAAAACUCUGAAUAUUCUCCGGUAGCCUUGGCCGCUUAGGCGGUCGACGCACUUAAAUCGGAUGCGGCCCCCCCAUGCAUGAUAAGGGGUCACCGUAUCAUAAAUCAUGCUCAGCCAAAUCCGGACUCCCGGGACGGUGCGGCGAAAUUUACCGGGAUGGCGCCGGGUGAGGCCGCUGCAGCCAACACCCCGGAGCGAGAUGAAAAACAGCAGCUAAGCUUGUAGAAAUCCUCGCAGCCACUCGAUAGGACGCGGGUUCGAUUCCCGCCGCCUCCACCU
rnacentral:tmRNA from 1 species